GGGAUUCUGAUUCUAUAGGAUGUUUAUACGUUAGACUCAAAAAGGAAUACAGCAAUGAAGUAAGUUUGUUAAAUACUGGACUGAAUGAGUUUCUCACUCUGAGACAUGGCAUAGCCUUGCAUAAGCAAAUUUGUACUGUGAAUCUUCAAAAUUGGGUUUAUAGUAUUAACUGUUUCUGAAACAUAUAACCAUUAAUAUUUAUUUCUGGAGCAUUCUAGAAGUUAUAGAAUAGUCACUCGUGCUCAUGCAGCAAAUACUUAUUGAGUAACUAUGACUGUGGAAGACAUUGUUCUUGGCACAAUGUUCUUUCCCAGUUGUAGCUUUUAUUCUAGCAGGAUAGCAGCAAAUAAGCCCACAAAACAGACUGUGAUAGCAGUGUAAUAAAUGCUAUAAAAGUAACAAGGAGAUAGGAAGUGGUGGGAUGGGGACUUGUGGUGGGUGUGAGGGGUGGUGGCUAGUUUAGAUCAGUGGUAGGAAGAGGUGUCCCUGGGGAGGGAUAUUUGAGUAGAGACAGGAGUGAACCAGGCAGUGGCCAUGUGAAAAUCUAGGGGGAGCGUAUUCCCAAUGGAGGUAACAGGUUCAAAGGCCACGAGGCAGAAAGUCGCUUGGAGAGUUUCAGAAACAUUAGGAAAGCCAGAGUACUGCAGGCAGAAAGAGGAAGGAGAGAGAAGGAGUAGGAGGCCAGGAGGGAUAAGAGACUCCUCCCUUUAGUAGAGGCAGGGAGGUGCCAGAUCACAUAGGCCCAGAGCAUGAGACUGUUCAGAGAGGAGGUGAGCAUCUCAGGGAUUUGGGGGAUGACACUAUGAGUGAGAGGGUACGUUUUGGGGGUUGGGGAGGAGUGAGAAACUAAAUCCCAUUUGUAUACAUGUUGAACCCACAGGUAUAAGAUACUAGGUGAGGAACGAAUGACGUGGCAUCUUGGACUUGACUGAGGCAAAUAGAGAUAAACCCAAUAGAAAAUAAUUAGCUCUAAUUGCAGCCUCUGUCUUGACAUGGCUUCAUGGGCAGCUGAGGCUUGUGGUGUCCUGAAGGAGGACAGGAGGAUACAUUACCAGGGACAUUCAGGACUCCUGUGGGUUUCAUUAUUGACUGAAGGCCCUGUCCCAGCCAGGGAAAGGACGAUCAUCCUGGGAGAGUCCCGUGGGUCCAGUUUCCUUGAGGGAGAGGACUCUGUUCUCUUUUUGUCACACAAUUCUUAGACCUAUGCUGUAUACAUGGUUCUCAGUAGGUGUUUUUUUCAAGUGAAUUGAAUUUAGACCUUGCGACUUUGAGAAAGUGAAUACUCCAGAAGAGAAAACGACUUACACUAUGGUCAAUAGAAUCCGAGUCCAUAAAAGCUGAGAGAAAAGCAAAUCUAUACAACACAAGAGACCUUAUAAACAUUUCUAUUAUAACCAUUAAUAACAUCAAAUUAUUAAAAGUUUAAAAACUUAAAAUGUGAGUUCCCUGUGGCUCAGCAGCUUAAGGAUCUAGCAUCUCCACUGCUUUGGCUCUGGUUACACAAUGGUUCAUGUUCAGUCCCUGGUUUGGGAACUUCAGCAUGCUGCAGGUACAGCCAAAAGGGGGAAAAAAACCCAACUUCAAAUGAAAAUAAGAUCUUGUAUGCAUAUUAAUGAUAUAUGUGUUAAUACACCUAUAAGAGGCACUAAACUUAAAAAUAAAACCUUGUUUGGUGUUAGAUGUGUAUUUGAAACUUUGUUUUCCUCUUUAAGUUUAUAUCAUUUUUAUCUAAUUCCAUCAAACUCAAAAAUGUCCUUUCUUCUCUAUGGCCAUCAUUAUGCUGAAAAAUUUAAAAGCUAUUGAAAAUGUGACUAAACAUGCCCUUUAGGUAGUUUCUCAAAUUGAUGACGUUAGCUAAUAGUCUUUUAUGAACUUUUCCAUAGAGCUCAUUAACUCCUCGUGAGAGACAUUAACCUCAGAAAGCAUUUCUGUUUCAUCAUGAUGACUAGAGAAUAUGUAAUGGUUGAAAGUAGUAAAUAUAUGAUUAUCUUUCAAUUUUAGAAUUUAUUGAGGAUAAUAGUAGACCGUGGAAGAAUGCCAACUAUAGUUUGAGACAAUGAUGGGAUUGUUUCCUCCGUUGUGACCGACCCUGUGUAUGAAGAACCAUCAAAAAAGUCAGAACAUUCAUCAGUGGCAAGAUAGUAACAAUUUUAAGGAAAUAUUGAUCUAUAAAGAUCAAAUAUUAUUUAAAUUUUACAAUAUGCUUAAGAUUUCAUUUCCAAAAAAUCAGAGGAAACAGAGAAACAGAACAUAAAAAAAUUUGCCCAACCACCACCACCUUCAGACCAUCACUAAUCCCAUUUUGAGUAUCCUAUUCCCAUUUUGCAAUUGGCAAAUUAAAGAUUAGAGAUGGUAAGUGAAUCCCCCAAAGUUACAGAGGAAAAAUUAGUGGCCAUGGUGGUUCUAGGAGGGGAUGGCUGGUGACUUGGGCCUUUGCCUCUUUCACUCUCCAUCAGCAAUUCAAGUAUUCCCUUCCAACCAACCAGGUCCCUUCCACCUUCUGAAGCAGCUUCUAGUUAGCAGCAAUGGGAUCAGGGAUAGAACUGGUUCACCUGAUGCUUGAACCAACUCUCACAGCUAAUGUAAACAAGACAGUGUGCCAAGAGGUCAGAUUUUUAUCUCAGGCUUGAUCUUGCUUCAGGACACUAUUUUAGAAUGUGGACAGUGGAUGACAGAUUAAUCCAAUUAUCAGCCCUACUGAAAUCCAUCCUCUUAGCCAACUAAGGUCUUGUUUGCUAGACUUGCUACAUAAAAAAAAUGAAAUAAACCUAUAAGGGAAUAAAAUAAAUGCUAACUUGGCAUCACGUUUUAGUGGUUGAGUAUUUCUGAAAGAGGAGUUCCUGAUUAAAGAUGCAAGGACCCUGUCAUGCUAAUUUCAGCCAAUUUCCUGCCUCAAAAUGUCUUCCUGCCUCUGUCACGGCCAGUGACUGACAGCUGGCUUAAUAAUUAAAUUCAAACAGUGUUUGCUUUUCUUGACCUUUACUGAGAAAUGAAUUUUCAAGCUCUGGACAUGAAUAGAGUGCUUUGAUUUGGGGAGAGUAAUGUGUUUGCAUCAUCCCCAGCAACCCGUGGAUCUGAUUACCUGGGCUAUUUCUACACUACUUCACAGCGGACUUCUAGAGGAUGGCGGGUAGUGUAGCCACUCUGUAAUUAAUUCCAAGCUUUGGCUCUCGGCACACUCAUCACCCAAAAGAGGGCAUGUUUGUUUCUGAUUGAAUGAAUAAAGGCUCUACCUGACCACUGCUGUCAAGAGCCUUCAAAACCUAUUUAUUUUGAACCUCUAGAUCUUUCACAUUCUGGUGGGAUCUUUGUUCAUGCUAGUUCAUGUGAACAAGUUGUAGCCUUGCCUUUUCUUGCCUUUCUUCCCUUGCUGCUCUUUCCUUCUUUGUUUCCUUAUUGCUCUCCACCCCCCUCUACUGGGGAAGACUUGGUGGUGCAGCAGCAAAGAGCCCUCAGACUUGAGUGAGCUUCAGGAUUUCAACUGUAAAAUGGGAAUAACAAUACCCAUCUCACUGAUGUGUUGAAAGGAUGAGGCCAGACCAUGUGUAUAAUGUGCCCAUCAAGUGCUUGGCACAUGCUGUGGUAGGCACUGGAUACAUGUAACAGCUGCCAUUUUCUUACAUAUACAGUCUUCUUUAUGACCUUUAUUUCUCCUGCUGUGUGAGGUCUGCAGUUUACCAUUUUUUUUUUUUUUAACUUUAGUUCCAGCACUUUUCUCAAAUGCUUCAGAGAGAAUCCUUUCCUUGAGAUAAACCCCCCUGUAUCAUCGUCAGUUUGGCUAUUGCAGAAUAUCCCAGGGUACUUUCUUUGUCUGAGGAGUGCCUACCUUGGAAUUUCUCCAGUCCUCUUCUAACAGUGGAAGAUACCACCUCCCAGAUCUCAGCCAGCUCUAAGGAGGCAACCUCAUCUGUAAAUGAGAGGGUGACUCUAUCUCUAAGAACUUAUCUGGACUGAGUCUAAGAACAAGCCCAUAAGCCUCAGAGGCCUGUAGUGUGCAUGGGGAUGUUCAGUCAUGUUAUGUAAAGCCAAAGUGACCAUAUAAUAUACCACCACACUGGGACACUUCUAAAAGCAAAAGGAGACACUAAAAUUGUUAGAAUUAAGUUAUUUUUUAAAUUUUUUGUUUUUAUUUUUAUUAUUUUUUUCUUUUUAGUGCUGCACUUGCAGUGUAUAGAAUUUCCUGGGCUAGGGAUCGAAUCAGAGCUGCAGCUGCCGGCCUAUGCCACAGCCACAGCAACACCGGAUCUUAGCCCCAUCUGCCAUCUUUGCUGCAGCUUGUGGCAAUGCCAGAUCCUUAACCCAGGGAUUGAACCCAUAUCCUCACAGAGACUAUGCUGUGUUCUUAACCCACUGAGCCACAAUGGGAACUCCAUAGAAUUAAGUUAUUUUUAAAAUAUUUAUUUAGUUAACAAAAAUUUGGCUUUGUUGGUUAUUGUAUUGGGAGAUCUGCAGAAGAGUUUUAUUCAAAACUAUUUUUCAAAAAUAAAAAUCUUAAAAAAACUUGAAUAAUAAUGUAAACUAGAUCAAAAUUUAAAAUUCCAUUAUGGAGUUUUUUAUAUUAAAAUAACAUAAGCACAAUAUUUAUUUUGGGCAAAUAUUCUUGUACUUUAAUUAGUUUCAUGGCUAUCUCUCUCUUAUUAUGCGACACUAGUAUUUUACUGAAGAAUUUUUUUUCAAUAUGGUCUUAUUUUUAAUGCUUUCAUAAAGUCAUCUAUAAUUUUCUUCAAAAUUGCCAUUACGGUUAAUCAAUCUGAGAUUUUUUUAUACCUUCAUCUGUCUCUUCUCUGUAGAAUAUAAUAUUGUUAAGAGAGAAAGUAUUCUAUAGAUGCUGAGGUACCUAGUAAACUUAGAGCCAAUUCUGCUAAAUGGAGGCUAUUUCCAAAUAUAUAUACUUUUUGUAUUGAAAUGGAAAAAUAUGUCAAUCCAAAUAUUUUCAGAGGUACUUUUAGUGCUAUUCAGAGUACCUUUCUUUAACAAAUGUUUUUAUAAGACAAUAUCAUCAAAUAUAUGUUGCGUUUGAGUCUAGAGUCUUUCAACAAAGUGUUUCAGAUUCUGUAAAAAAA
rnacentral:lncRNA from 1 species